rnacentral:rRNA from 1 species
UACAGAGGUCCCAAGCGUUGUUCGGAUUCAUUGGGCGUAAAGGGUGCGUAGGCGGCGCGGUAAGUCGGGUGUGAAAUCUCGGGGCUUAACUCCGAAACUGCAUUCGAUACUGCCGUGCUUGAGGACUGGAGAGGAGACUGGAAUUUCCGGUGUAGCGGUGAAAUGCGUAGAUAUCGGAAGGAACACCAGUGGCGAAAGCGGCUUCCUGGUCCAGCACCGACGUUCAGGCACGAAAGCGUGGGGAGCAAACAGG